UACGUAGGGGGGCAAGCGUUGUCCGGAUUUAUUGGGCGUAAAGAGCGUGUAGGCGGCCAGACAGGUCCGUUGUGAAAACUAGAGGCUUAACCUCUAGACGUCGAUGGAAACCGUCUGGCUAGAGUCCGGAAGAGGAGAAUGGAAUUCCUGGUGUAGCGGUGAAAUGCGCAGAUAUCAGGAAGAACACCCGUGGCUAAGGCGGUUCUCUAGUACGGUACUGACGCUGAGACGCGAAAGCGUGGGGAGCGAACAGG
rnacentral:rRNA from 1 species